rnacentral:rRNA from 1 species
UACGGAGGGCGCAAGCGUUGUUCGGAAUCACUGGGCGUAAAGCGCACGUAGGCGGCUUCUUAAGUCAGGGGUGAAAUCCUGGGGCUCAACCCCAGAACUGCCCUUGAUACUGAGGAGCUUGAGUCCGGGAGAGGUGAGUGGAACUCCGAGUGUAGAGGUGAAAUUCGUAGAUAUUCGGAAGAACACCAGUGGCGAAGGCGGCUCACUGGCCCGGUACUGACGCUGAGGUGCGAAAGAGUGGGGAGCAAACAGG